GAGUAAGACCAAGCGGCGGACGGGUGAGUAACGCGUGGGUAACCUGCCCUAUACACAUGGAUAACAUACUGAAAAGUUUACUAAUACAUGAUAAUAUAUAUUUACGGCAUCGUAGAUAUAUCAAAGUGUUAGCGGUAUAGGAUGGACCCGCGUCUGAUUAGCUAGUUGGUGAGAUAACUGCCCACCAAGGCGACGAUCAGUAGCCGACCUGAGAGGGUGAUCGGCCACAUUGGAACUGAGACACGGUCCAAACUCCUACGGGAGGCAGCAGUGGGGAAUAUUGCACAAUGGGCGCAAGCCUGAUGCAGCAACGCCGCGUGAACGAUGAAGGUCUUCGGAUCGUAAAGUUCUGUUGCAGGGGAAGAUAAUGACGGUACCCUGUGAGGAAGCCCCGGCUAACUACGUGCCAGCAGCCGCGGUAAUACGUAGGGGGCUAGCGUUAUCCGGAUUUACUGGGCGUAAAGGGUGCGUAGGUGGUCUUUCAAGUCGGUGGUUAAAGGCUACGGCUCAACCGUAGUUAGCCUCCGAAACUGGAAGACUUGAGUGCAGGAGAGGAAAGUGGAAUUCCCAGUGUAGCGGUGAAAUGCGUAGAUAUUGGGAGGAACACCAGUAGCGAAGGCGGCUUUCUGGACUGCAACUGACACUGAGGCACGAAAGCGUGGGUAACAAACAGGAUUAGAUACCCUGGUAGUCCACGCUGUAAACGAUGAGUACUAGGUGUCGGGGGUUACCCCCCUCGGUGCCGCAGCUAACGCAUUAAGUACUCCGCCUGGGGAGUACGCACGCAAGUGUGAAACUCAAAGGAAUUGACGGGGACCCGCACAAGUAGCGGAGCAUGUGGUUUAAUUCGAAGCAACGCGAAGAACCUUACCUAAGCUUGACAUCCCUUAGACCGGUGUUUAAUCACACCUUCCCUUCGGGGCUGAGGUGACAGGUGGUGCAUGGUUGUCGUCAGCUCGUGUCGUGAGAUGUUGGGUUAAGUCCCGCAACGAGCGCAACCCUUGUCUUUAGUUGCCAGCAUUCAGUUGGGCACUCUAGAGAGACUGCCAGGGAUAACCUGGAGGAAGGUGGGGAUGACGUCAAAUCAUCAUGCCCCUUAUGCUUAGGGCUACACACGUGCUACAAUGGGUGGUACAGAGGGUUGCCAAACCGUGAGGUGGAGCUAAUCCCUUAAAGCCAUUCUCAGUUCGGAUUGUAGGCUGAAACUCGCCUACAUGAAGCUGGAGCUACUAGUAAUCGCAGAUCAGAAUGUUGCGGUGAAUGCGUUCCCGGGUCU
rnacentral:rRNA from 1 species